rnacentral:rRNA from 1 species
GAGGUUAAGCGACUAAGCGUACACGGUGGAUGCCCUGGCAGUCAGAGGCGAUGAAGGACGUGCUAAUCUGCGAUAAGCGCCGGUAAGGUGAUAUGAACCGUUAUAACCGGCGAUUUCCGAAUGGGGAAACCCAGUGUGACUCGUCACACUAUCAUUAACUGAAUCCAUAGGUUAAUGAGGCGAACCGGGGGAACUGAAACAUCUAAGUACCCCGAGGAAAAGAAAUCAACCGAGAUUCCCCCAGUAGCGGCGAGCGAACGGGGAGGAGCCCAGAGCCUGAAUCAGCAUGUGUGUUAGUGGAAGCGUCUGGAAAGGCGCGCGAUACAGGGUGACAGCCCCGUACACAAAAGCGCAUGUGCUGUGAGCUCGAUGAGUAGGGCGGGACACGUGGUAUCCUGUCUGAAUAUGGGGGGACCAUCCUCCAAGGCUAAAUACUCCUGACUGACCGAUAGUGAACCAGUACCGUGAGGGAAAGGCGAAAAGAACCCCGGCGAGGGGAGUGAAAAAGAACCUGAAACCGUG